rnacentral:lncRNA from 1 species
UUGGGAGCUUUAGAGUUUCAAAGCUUCAAGGUUUUGGUGUGAUGUGAAUUGGUUAUGAAUUGGUGAAUUAAAAUGAAUGCCUUAUCUUCCUAUUUGUAGAAUUCUAAAACUUGAUUUUUGGAUUUAAAUAAUCUGAUGAAAUAAAUCAUUUUUGCCAGGUGUUGACAUGUGUCCUGUUUGAUAACUUUUCCGAUGUUUUUUAUUUCUCGUUAAGUUACGUUCGAUGUGUAAAAUUUAUGUGACACAUGAACGUUGAAAUUUUAAUUAUUGAUCAACCGAAAUUUCGAUGUCUACAAAUGCCCCCACUUCAAGGCGUGUCGUAUACAUGUGCUUGUCAUGUUUAGAAGAUGCGUUUUGAAGUCCUUUAAUGUAAAUGUCGAUCCAAGGGCCAUCGAGGCUUGAUCUUGAAUUGGGGUGGAAAUUUCUUCAAGGGCCUUCAAGGCUUGAUCUUGAAUUCGGUUGGAAGAUUUUCUAGUUUCCUCCAAUUGUUGAUUUUCCACAGGCUUAAUCUUGAACUAGGCUGGAGAGUUUUCUAGUUUCCUCCAAAGGUCUGAACUUACUCUUUUUAUAUGAAGCUGAAUUUGAUUCAAGGGUGGUGGACACUUGAUUUUGAAUCAGACUUGUGAUUUCUUCAAGGGCCGUUGGAGCUUGAUCUUGAAUUUAAAUAGGACUCCACGAGCGGUUUUAGGAUUCAGACAUAUGGCAAGCAGGCACAAGGUGAAGGUGAUGGUCUGUUUCUUUGUUCAAUCUUUCCAAUUCAUACCUGAGCAGUUUCGUUAACGGUAUGUUCUUCAAGGGUGGUGGACACUUGAUCUUGAAUCAGACUUGUGAUUUCUUAAAGGGUCGUCGAGGCUUUGCUCUUCGGCGACAGUGCCAGCGAAAUGCUGUUGAAGCUUCUCGAGCUCUCUGAUUAUAGCAAUGAUGGCGGGCUUGGAUUUGUAUUAGACUCCUCUGUCUGGAUUAUGCAGUUCUGCUGAGAAGGGUGUCUUGCUAUAAUGAUUUGUUCCAGCUUAUCGUGCUACAUUCUUUUCUGCUUGUUUCUCUUGCAUAGCAGAAGUGGUGUUCAACCUUUUUCCUUUAAAUGGUCAUUCAGAGCAUCACUUCUCAGCGACUCAUCCAUGCUUGGCAGCUU